CACGUGCAGCUGGCUCUAACUUGCUUCCGGCCAACUCUGGAUGCUCCAAUACGUGGAAUAACACCUGAGUUACCACAGACCUAAGCCAUGGAACUACACAGGGAUGGGAAGGGUAAUAGCACAAAUAAACUGAUACAGUGAAAACAGACCUAGAACAACGUGCUUCAGUAACUGCCAGCUACCAAAUAACAGCUGAAAGCUGCCAGCACCCGUUUGGCCUCCUCCUGAACAUAUCCCGGCUGCCACAGUUUCUUCAACAGAAACUUCCUGCUCAUAUAAAUUAUAGUCUAGGUAUAUUAAAUAGGAGACAAGGAGCUGAUGGCACUCAUUUAACACGGAGGCCGCGACACAGUUUCUAAAUCUGCAACAGCUAAUUGUCGUUCAGUCCCUCGCUCGCCUUGGUAACCAAACCCCGACGCGGAGGUCCCUCUUUACUCAGCGAGGAAGGGGCAUUUCUACAGCGGUAACAGAGCGCGCAGCUCGGGCGGCGUGCCCACACCUGCGCUGCUGCAGGGCGUGAGCGGCAACAAGGCUGCAGUGCGAGGACACGUGUGGGAGCGGGGCGGGAACGGUGUUUCCCCUCAGGGAUUCCGCACGGGGAGCAGGCGGAGCGCCGAAGCGACGUGACCCCGCGUGGCGGGCGGCCUGGCGGCGCGGCUCCCGCUGCGGCACGGCGCGGUGCCCGGAGGUCGGGGCUCGCGCUCCCCCCGGGCGGAGGGAGGGAACGCCGCAGGUGCAGCCGGGAGAAGUGGCGGACAAAGAGCGGCGGCACCUGCACUCACCAUCGGUAGCAGCCUUCGCUGGCCUCUAGCGUGAAGUUGACGCGGGUGAAGAAGUGGUACAUGGACCAAAGUGCAGAAAGAGGUUAAGGAAGCCAGAAAGGGAACUCCGUGAGACGUGAACUCUGUAAGCCAGGUGAAUGCAGUGGUGACUGUGGUGUGAGCAGCUUGGAGCCCCUCCAACGAGCGCAAGCUCACGUUGCCAUGACGAGAAAUGGGGGAGAGAUGUUGGAGGUGGCAAGAUGCCUCCAUGUAGAGGAGGGGGACACCUAUGAGUCUGGCUCUGGUCAAACCGACUGGAAUUAUUCCAUCUCUUGCAUUACUCCAACUCUGAACGUUGCAGUCAGUAACAGGACAGUUUGUAGGAAGCUAAAAUAGUGCUGUAAGGUGCAGUAAUUUGCAAAUGACCCAAAGGAUUAAUCACAUGCAGAUUAUGGAUAACUGGAUCUGCAGACCCAAGUCUCACAUUAUCAUGGUUUUGCUGUCACUCUUGUCUCUAACUUCAUUGUUUUUUAAUCUGGAAAAAAUCAUUGUGUUUUACCAUUCGUCAAUAUUAGUCAUUUCACCAAAAUGAAACAUUGUAACUAAAGUCAAUUUCUGUUCUGCCUGAGGUUGAGAAACUAAUGAAGGGUUUUUGCUGUCACUUCCAAAAGGAGAUCAUUUGCCAAUUUUCCUCAUUCUCCUAAAUACGCAUCACAUUACAUGGGCAGAUGUAAUAAACCAAUACAGAUACUGGUGGCCUGACCAGGCAGCCUCUUUCCUACAGGACAAUGUUCAGACACAUCUUUCUAUUUCCCAAAGUAAGGCUUUCCUAGUAAGUUGGACUCCAGUACCCUGCUUUAAAUGAAUCUGCACAAGGGGAUCCCUUCAAAGAGGCCAAUCACAUCAAUAGAAGAGAGUUCCUGGGAAGACCAGGGUUGUUAUCUGAAAGGGGGAAAAAUAAAAGAAUUUCAAUCUGAAACCACAUUAUGAAGUUUUUCCCUUUGAACUCUUCCCUUCCCAAAGGUGUUUUUUAUGGUUUUUAACAUGAAAUGAAUGAUCUCCCGGAUGACAAAGAGCAAACUAAAGAGACCAACCUUGAGUUAAUAAGUUGCUGGUUAUUUAUUAUAACAAUGAUAUGUCUGUGCUUUCGAGUAUGCAGUAAUUAAUAAACUCCCUUACCACAGGACACCACUGUUAUCCAUAAUAUUGUCAAAACCAUUCGAGUUGUACUUUGUGUCUACAGAAGUAGAACUGAGCAGG